rnacentral:rRNA from 1 species
GACGAACCGGACAAACGUUAUUCGGAAUUACUGGGCUUAAAGGGUUUGUAGGCGGCCUUGUAAGUCAGGUGUGAAAUCCCUCGGCUCAACCGAGGAAUAGCGCUUGAUACUGCAAGGCUUGAGGGAGACAGGGGUAAGCGGAACUGAUGGUGGAGCGGUGAAAUGCGUUGAUAUCAUCAGGAACACCGGUGGCGAAAGCGGCUUACUGGGUCUCUUCUGACGCUGAGGAACGAAAGCUAGGGGAGCAAACAGG